GACGAACGCUGGCGGCGUGCUUAACACAUGCAAGUCGAACGGAAAGGCCCUGCUUUUGUGGGGUGCUCGAGUGGCGAACGGGUGAGUAACACGUGAGUAACCUGCCCUUGACUUUGGGAUAACUUCAGGAAACUGGGGCUAAUACCGGAUCGGAGCUCCUGCUGCAUGGUGGGGGUUGGAAAGUUUCGGCGGUUGGGGAUGGACUCGCGGCUUAUCAGCUUGUUGGUGGGGUAGUGGCUUACCAAGGCUUUGACGGGUAGCCGGCCUGAGAGGGUGACCGGCCACAUUGGGACUGAGAUACGGCCCAGACUCCUACGGGAGGCAGCAGUGGAGAAUAUUGCACAAUGGGCGGAAGCCUGAUGCAGCAACGCCGCGUGCGGGAUGACGGCCUUCGGGUUGUAAACCGCUUUCGCCUGUGGCGAAGCGUGAGUGACGGUAAUGGGUAAAGAAGCACCGGCUAACUACGUG
rnacentral:rRNA from 1 species